UCAUCAUCCCGAAGAGGGGUUGUUGUUGGCUCGGGGGCAGGGGGUUCAGUUCGGGAAGGCUCCUCGUUAGGGAGUUCUUCAUUUGCAUCAGUAAUCCUCCCCGCCAAGAAAUCUUCCAAGUCUUUUACUUCCGAGGAAGUUGGUUUGAUCAAAGACACUGCAAAUAAUCACAAGUUAAAAUCCGUACCACAUAAACAUUUCAAAAAAUUAUAUCACAGAAUGGUCCGAGACUUACGUUUAUGGUCAUACAACCAUGCUUGCUUGGUCAAUAGAGUGAAGCUCCACUCUUGAGAAGGGAUCUUAUUCAUGAAGUCACCCAUCUCCCUCACGCGCCCCUCGGGGAUGUCACCGAAGUCAGCAGAGAUACGCUCCGAAGUGGUCCAAUCGGGAAGGGAGGAGAUUCCAGGACCAGUGACGAAGAACCAUUUCUCGUGCCAUCCUUUGUUGCUCGAGGGGGUGCUCAUCAGGGGCCUCUUCUCGAAUUUCGAGUUUGGGCGUGGGGACUGUUUGCUCAGCAUUUUGAACCCUCGUUCUCGGGAUCUGCCAGCCGAGAAGAGGGUGAAGAAGAGAUCAAC
rnacentral:lncRNA from 1 species